GGAUCUGUGGCUCAGUGGUAGAGUACUUGUCUAGCACAAAUGAGGCUCUGGGUUUUAUUCCCAGUACCA
rnacentral:tRNA from 1 species